CUCAGGACGAGACGGUUAAAUCUGCUAUGAUUAAAUGGGCACAGGACGUUGGACAUAACAUUAUGUUUGCUGACUGGGAACAGUUGUGGACCACAGGUAUAAAAUUUACGGCAUGUAAUGCUUUAAGAGAGAAUAUUAUGAAAAUGAUAUACAGGUGGUACAUGACCCCAGUCAAGCUUGCAAAAAUCUAUCACUUGCCCGACAAUAAAUGUUGGAAAUGUAAAGAAACUGAAG